rnacentral:rRNA from 1 species
AACGCGAAGAACCUUACCUACUCUUGACAUCCAGAGAAUUCGCUAGAGAUAGCUUAGUGCCUUCGGGAACUCUGAGACAGGUGCUGCAUGGCUGUCGUCAGCUCGUGUUGUGAAAUGUUGGGUUAAGUCCCGCAACGAGCGCAACCCUUAUCCUUUGUUGCCAGCGCGUAAUGGCGGGAACUCAAAGGAGACUGCCGGUGAUAAACCGGAGGAAGGUGGGGAUGACGUCAAGUCAUCAUGGCCCUUACGAGUAGGGCUACACACGUGCUACAAUGGCAUAUACAAAGAGAAGCGAACUCGCGAGAGCAAGCGGACCUCAUAAAGUAUGUCGUAGUCCGGAUUGGAGUCUGCAACUCGACUCCAUGAAGUCGGAAUCGCUAGUAAUCGUAGAUCAGAAUGCUACGGUGAAUACGUUCCCGGGCCUUGUACACACCGCUACAGU